rnacentral:rRNA from 1 species
UACGUAGGGGCCUAGCGUUGUCCGGAAUUAUUGGGCGUAAAGAGCUCGUAUGCGGUUCGGCAAGUCGGAUGUGAAAUCUCCACGCUCAACGUGGAGGGGCCAUUCGAAACUGCCGUGACUCGAGUCCGGUAGGGGAGUGUGGAAUUCCCGGUGUAGCGGUGAAAUGCGCAGAUAUCGGGAGGAACACCAGUAGCGAAGGCGGCACUCUGGGCCGGUACUGACGCUGAGGAGCGAAAGCGUGGGGAGCGAACAGG